rnacentral:rRNA from 1 species
AUUGAACGCUGGCGGCAGGCCUAACACAUGCAAGUCGAACGAGUGGCGGACGGGUGAGUAAUGCCUGGGAAUCUGGCUUAUGGAGGGGGAUAACUACGGGAAACUGUAGCUAAUACCGCAUACCAUCAGAUGUGCCCAGGUGGGAUUAGUUAGUUGGUGGGGUAACGGCUCACCAAGGCGACGAUCCCUAGCUGGUCUGAGAGGAUGACCAGCCACACUGUAACUGAGACACGGUCCAGACUCCUACGGGAGGCAGCAUUGGGGAAUAUUGCACAAUGGGGGCAAGCCUGAUGCAGCCAUGCCGCGUGAAUGAAGAAGGCCUUCGGGUUGUAAAGUUCUUUCAGCAGGGAGGCGUUACCCGCAGAAGAAGCACCGGCUAACUCCGUGCCAGCAGCCGCGGUAAUUC